GACGGAGGGUGCAAGCGUUGUUCGGAAUUACUGGGCGUAAAGGGCGCGUAGGCGGUCUGUUAAGUUCGGUGUGAAAGCCCCCGGCUCACCUGGGGAACUGCGCCGGAAACCGACAGACUCGAGUACCGGAGAGGAGGGUGGAAUUCCUGGUGUAGCGGUGAAAUGCGUAGAUAUCAGGAGGAACACCGGUGGCGAAGGCGGCCCUCUGGACGGAUACUGACUCUGAGGCGCGAAAGCGUGGGGAGCGAACAGG
rnacentral:rRNA from 1 species